rnacentral:misc_RNA from 1 species
UCGAUCCCUGCCUAGGUCG